rnacentral:rRNA from 1 species
AAGACAUUGUGUCUUCGAGUCGUUGAUUUCACACUGCCGAGAAAAGCCUCUAGAUAGAAAAUAGGUGCCCGUACCGCAAACCGACACAGGUAGUCAAGAUGAGAAUUCUAAGGUGAGCGAGCGAACUCUCGUUAAGGAACUCGGCAAAAUGACCCCGUAACUUCGGGAGAAGGGGUGCUCUUUAGGGUUAACGCCCAGAAGAGCCGCAGUGAAUAGGCCCAAGCGACUGUUUAUCAAAAACACAGGUCUCUGCUAAACCGUAAGGUGAUGUAUAGGGGCUGACGCCUGCCCGGUGCUGGAAGGUUAAGAGGAGUGGUUAGCUUCUGCGAAGCUACGAAUCGAAGCCCCAGUAAACGGCGGCCGUAACUAUAACGGUCCUAAGGUAGCGAAAUUCCUUGUCGGGUAAGUUCCGACCCGCACGAAAGGCGUAACGAUUUGGGCACUGUCUCAACGAGAGACUCGGUGAAAUCAUAGUACCUGUGAAGAUGCAGGUUACCCGCGACAGGACGGAAAGACCCCGUGGAGCUUUACUGUAGCCUGAUAUUGAAAUUCGGCACAGCUUGUACAGGAUAGGUAGGAGCCUUUGAAACGUGAGCGCUAGCUUACGUGGAGGCGCUGGUGGGAUACUACCCUAGCUGUGUUGGCUUUCUAACCCGCACCACUUAUCGUGGUGGGAGACAGUGUCAGGCGGGCAGUUUGACUGGGGCGGUCGCCUCCUAAAAGGUAACGGAGGCGCUCAAAGGUUCCCUCAGAAUGGUUGGAAAUCAUUCAUAGAGUGUAAAGGCAUAAGGGAGCUUGACUGCGAGACCUACAAGUCGAGCAGGGUCGAAAGACGGACUUAGUGAUCCGGUGGUUCCGCAUGGAAGGGCCAUCGCUCAACGGAUAAAAGCUACCCCGGGGAUAACAGGCUUAUCUCCCCCAAGAGUUCACAUCGACGGGGAGGUUUGGCACCUCGAUGUCGGCUCAUCGCAUCCUGGGGCUGUAGUCGGUCCCAAGGGUUGGGCUGUUCGCCCAUUAAAGCGGUACGCGAGCUGGGUUCAGAACGUCGUGAGACAGUUCGGUCCCUAUCCGUCGUGGGCGUAGGAAAUUUGAGAGGAGCUGUCCUUAGUACGAGAGGACCGGGAUGGACAUACCUCUGGUGUACCAGUUGUCGUGCCAACGGCAUAGCUGGGUAGCUAUGUGUGGACGGGAUAAGUGCUGAAAGCAUCUAAGCAUGAAGCCCCCCUCAAGAUGAGAUUUCCCAACUUCGGUUAUAAGAUCCCUCAAAGAUGAUGAGGUUAAUAGGUUCGAGGUGGAAGCAUGGUGACAUGUGGAGCUGACGAAUACUA